GAUAAACGCUAGCGGCAGGCCUAACACAUGCAAGUCGAGGGGUAACUAGAGUGAUAGCAAUAUUACUUUGGCUAGACCGGCGCACGGGUGCGUAACACGUAUGCAACCUACCUUAUACUGGGGAAUAACUUCGAGAAAUCGGCGCUAAUACCCCAUAACAUUGCGAAGAGGCAUCUCUUUGCAAUUAAAGCUACGGCGGUAUAAGAUGGGCAUGCGUCCAAUUAGCUAGUUGGUGAGGUAACGGCUCACCAAGGCUACGAUUGGUAGGGGUUCUGAGAGGAUGAUCCCCCACACUGGUACUGAGACACGGACCAGACUCCUACGGGAGGCAGCAGUGAGGAAUAUUGCGCAAUGGACGAAAGUCUGACGCAGCCAUGCCGCGUGCAGGAUGACGGCCCUAUGGGUUGUGAACUGCUUUUGUACGGGAAUAAACCCUUCUACGUGUAGGAGGCUGAAGGUACCGUAAGAAUAAGCACCGGCUAACUCCGUGCCAGCCGCCGCAGUAAAAC
rnacentral:rRNA from 1 species